UACAGAGGUCCCGAGCGUUGUUCGGAUUCACUGGGCGUAAAGGGUGCGUAGGUGGUCGGGUAAGUUUGAUGUGAAAGCUCUGGGCUCAACCCAGAAAUGGCAUUGAAUACUAUUCGGCUAGAGGAGUGGAGGGGGGACUGGAAUACUUGGUGUAGCAGUGAAAUGCGUAGAUAUCAGGUGGAACACCAGUGGCGAAGGCGAGUCCCUGGACACUUCCUGACACUGAGGCACGAAAGCUAGGGGAGCAAAC
rnacentral:rRNA from 1 species